UUCGAAACAGCACAUGUGAGAGAAUCUUGUCAGGCACACCCCCUCGCGCGGCUGGGUUGGCUGGCGUGGGAUAAACCACAGCCACGCAGCGGGUCGUCUUCUCCAUUCCAAUCUGCAUCAGUUCGUCUAACAGCGGCGGCCGUGCUGUUCCGGCGCCGGCGAGAUGUCUACCAAUGGUGUCGAGAUUAAUGGGAUUUCUGCUGCGUCCGGUGCGAGGAGCACUUCCGUCUUGCCAUUGGAGUCCCAGGAUUCCAUGAGCGUCCCAAACGACGUGUUCGCUGCCGCCGGUUGUGCUCGGCCGCAUGUGGAUGCAGUGGUGGGCGAGGUGUGCUCUGAAGCCACCAGCGGCUGGACGCGCAGGGUCAGGGUGGGUAAAGCUCCCGAGGAGAGGGAGAUGAAUCCAAACAGGAUUUCAGCUCCCGAAGUGUACAAAUUGUGGUCUGCUUGGGCAUCGACGCAAUAACUGUGGCACGAGGAAAUCUGGACCUUUUGAACCGAACUUUCUCUAAGGAACUAAAUUCAUAAGUCGUGCUGUUUCUUUGUCAGGACUGUCUUAUUGUGCAAUCAUCAUUGUGUCAUUUGCACUCGGUUGACAAUUAAAACUGUUUUAUUUGGUCUGUUAUGAUCAUUAUUGUGUUAGUUUCAUUUGA